UCAAUGUGUAAUCUUAGAUAUGUAUUUAUUUCAUCUAGCCAUCCACGUGACACUAUAAAUCUAUAAUGUGUAUAUGUGAACGCCAUUAACAAAAUUGAAACUAAAAAAACUAGUCUAAGUGCUUUAAACACAAAAGAGGACCCGAAGUUAAUUAAAGAAGUUAUGAGCUGGCGCUUAAUCUGAUUGGAUCAAAAAUGAAAAGAUUAGAGAAACAAAUUGAGGAUUUUCGGUCUUUAUAUGGGCCAAUUACAUAUAAGUCCACUUUGAGACAUUUUUUCCCACAUAGAUCCACCCAAACAUUUUUACCCACAUAAGUCCACCCAAGUCUAAAUAAAGUUUUGUAUUAAGUAUUAAAGUUCAACAUAAUUACAGACUGCCAUCCAACAAAAAAAAUUAGAUUUUCUCCUUUAUAUUUACAAGAAUGCCACUAGUAUAAAAAGUCAACAACCACUCUCAUUUCGGAACAGUCUCCGGCGGACCUCCGGUGAGAUUUCCAGCGGACCUCUGGCGAGGUUUCCGGCGAGAUUUCCGACUGACCUCCGGCGAGGUUUCCGGCCGACCUCCGACGAUGACAAAAAUUACUACUACCAGCUAAAAAAGCUACUACCACCAGCUAUAAAAGCUACUACCACCGCAUAACAAAAGCUACUACAAAAGUUUCCGGCCGACCUCCGGCGAGAUUUCUGACCGACCUCCGGCGAGGUUUCCGACCGACCUCCGACGAUGACAAAAAUUAACUACUACAAGCUAAAAAAAGACUAUUACCACCAGCUAUAAAAGCUACUACCACCGCCUACAAAAGCUACUACUGUGAGAUUUCUGAUGAAAACAAAAAGCUACUACCACUAGCCACAAAAACUACUACCACAAGCUACAAAAGCUACUACCACCGCCUACAAAAGCUACUACUGUGAGGUUUUCGACGAACACAAAAACUACUACCACCAGCGACAAAAGCUACUACCACCAGCUAACAAAAGCUACUACCACCGCCUACAAAAGCUACUACGUCCAUUGAUUCAUCAAAUUCCACAACUAAAUUAGUAGUCAGUGAUGCGUGAUCAAGAUUGAACAAGAAUAGAAAUGAAUCGGAAUACUCACAAAACCAUAGCCCUUGGAUCGGCCGGUGUCCUUGUCAGAAAUGACAACCGCCUCAAGGCGGUGGAUUCUCGAUAGAUCUGCACCUCACCGACGAAUCACCUUCGUCGUCACCGUCUCAAACUCAUAGGAGAAGGUGCGGAGAAGAAGAUGACGAGGCUGAUCGGAGAAGGUGCGGCCAGUGAUGACGGGGCUGAUCAGAGGAUCGGAAAAGGUAGAGGAAGGUCCACACACACUGGGGAGAUCUACUAAGGCGCAUAAAUCUCUACUUCCAACGGCGGCGGACGCCGAACAAGUGGUGGAUGACGUCGUCGGAGUUGGUUGGACCUUGUAGAUCCGGCUGCACGUUGAGGAGAUGCAGUCAAGGUCGAAGCGGAGGUCGUCAAGGAGUCGUCGACGGUGGAUCCAGAUGUCAUCGUCAAGGCGACGGCAUCGUCAGAGCCGGAGAUACAAUCAAGGCUGAGUCGGAAGUAGCGCCGAGGCGGCGGCGGCUUCGCCAUGGCAGUGGGUUCACGAGAGAGAGAGAGAGAGAGAGAGAGAGAGAGAGAGAGAGAGAGAGAGAGAGAGAGAGAGAGAGAGAGAGAGAGAGAGAGAGAGAGAGAGAGAGAGAGAGAGAGAGAGAGAGAGAGAGAGAGAGAGAGAGAGAGAGAGAG
rnacentral:lncRNA from 1 species